rnacentral:lncRNA from 1 species
AACAUAAUUUUAUUAUUCAUGUGUCUUGGGAGAAUUUUACAUAUUGUACACAAAGCUGUUCAUAUAUAUUACAUAUGUAGUGACUCAAACAUUUUUCUUUUUAAGGGCCACACUUGUGGCAUAGGGAAAUUCCCAGGCUAGGACGUGAAUCAGGGCUACAGCUGCCAGCCUAGCCACAGCAAUGUGGGAUCUGAGCCAUAUGUGCAUCCUACCUCAGCUUUCAGCAAUGCUGGAUCCUUAACCCACUGACUGAGUGAGGCCAGGGAUCGAACUCGCAUUCUCACAGACGCUAUGUUGGGUUCUGAACCCACUGAGCCACAAUGGGAACUUCUCAAACAUUUAAAAAAUGACCUGUUAUCUAUAUACACAAAACUUCAGUAUUUCUUUUUCCUUAUUUAGUACAAAGAUUCAUUACUACAAAAUUAUUGGCUAUUGAUUGUGAUUUCUGGAAAAUGGAAUAUUGUUUCAUAAGUCAUAAAAGUACAAUGUUAAAUAGAUCACUAUUUUGACCAAUUUUCAAAACUUUUAUGUUCAGUGUUUGCCAACUUAAAAUAAUUACGCCUAACUCCAUGGCUAUCCAUCUUAAAAAAUCAACCCCCAUUACCGCAUCAUGACACUUACUGUUAUUCAUAAAAAUAAGUACAAAUUUCAAUGAAUCUUUAAGCAAAGAUCACCUUUUAUUGUCAUUGGGAUAUUAUGGUCAAAGUUGUUAGUAUCUGGCCAUAGUCUGUAACACUACACUAACAUACUUUAUUGCUAAUUUGCAUUAUUUUCUAAAUUUGUGUUACUAUCCAAUUUGCUCUUUUAAAGAAAUCUUGUCCUUACAAGCUAUUAUAAAUUUACUAGACUCUAGAAUCUAGGGUUGAGGCUACUAUUGCUGUACUGGGUUUAUGAUAAGAUUUCUACUUGAGAAAGCUAUGUUCAGCGAUUGCAUCAUUAGAGUUGGCAAAAGUAAAGUCCUGAUAUAUUGGAUAUUUGAUACUAUCCAAAUAUCAAACAGAAACUGAGACUGCAUAAUCAUGGUGUGGCUGUAAUACAAGUAAAAUUUCUACUCGAUGCAUCACGUAUAUUCCACUAGUUACAGUUAAAUGACUUAUCCAGGGAGUCAACUCUAUGGGUAUUGGGUAUUUGUACAUUUAAAAAUAAAAUAUUUAUAUAUAUAUAUAUAUAUAUUUAGCUCUGUAUACAAAUAGUCAUGCCCUGAAUACUGAAUGUGGAUACUCACCUGUCCACAAGGAAUCCUCAGGUGCAUCAUGUUUCCCAAAGGCAUUUGCACGUGCGUGUGCAUUUAACUACUACUACCUGUUCAACACCACUUUAAACAUUUCCUCUUCAGUACAGCUAAUUACCUUAGACUUCUCUCAUAAGAGAAGGUUAUGUUCCCUUGAUCACAACUGUACCCUCACUGCCGUGGGAGAAUUCCAGGGCCUCUGGGACUUGCUGCCCCAGCAAGGUGCUGCUGGUUCCCACAGACUCAGAUGGGACUUGGGUUUCAAGUUUAGUGGCUCUUUAUUGAAAUAAAUGAACUUUUUCUAAAUCUAACCUCUUUAGCUCUGGUGUCUAGAUCGAAACGAAAUAAGCUGCAUUGUUCCAUUUUACAUUAGGAGGAAUCUACUGUGUAUUAACUAAGUAGUCAGUCAUGAAUGCCAUUUAUAAUAGAAAUAAUUCCUUUAGAGUGUAGACUAUUUUCUAAAUAAUGGGCAUUUUUAUACACAUUUUAUGAUAAGGCUUAAAAAUAUAUAUGAUGUAAAACUCAUCUCUAUUGUGUCAAGAUGGGUGAAAUAUUUUGUGGAUAAGCUUUUUGAGCUGCUACAAUGAUUCCAAAGAGGCUCCACCCAGCAGCAUGAAGGCACACUGCAGAAGACGGCACAUUUCCUGAGAACGUGGAAAUAAAAUUUCUCUAAAAUUUACAGUGUGUUGAGACACUUAGUCAUGGGACAUCAUUUUUGACACCAUACUUAGAUUCAUGUUGCUUUGAGAAGCCGAGAAUUUGAUCUAACUGUAUGUGGUUUAAAAAGUUACCAAAGUGAUCAAAAGAGUAUGCUCUAGUUUGCCCCUAACUUCCUAACCUAGGACAAAGAACAUUAAUUUGUGUUCUGGAUAUAAAAUGCUGGAACUCCAAUUUCAACCCAUGGAUUUCCAAUCUUAACCAUACAGCAAAUUGGGUGUUUGGUUUUAUUGUGAAAAAGAACAGUGUGUGCAUGAUGCUUAUUGCCAUGUAUUUUCUCUUCCCGCCACGUGCUCCCUGCUGCCUUUCCAUGCGGCAGCUUUGAUGAGGGGAAAUCAAAUUUGGUAGCCAGGUAGUGUCCGGUGCUCACUACCAGACAAAGAUGACCACUGAGACUUAAGCACCGAACCCUUUACGUGUGAAUACUGUUUAUGCGAAAAGCUAAGAGCAGUAUAAACUAUGGCUAACUUAGUUUAAUGAUGGGCUGCAUCUCUGAAUAGGUUUUAAAAGAAUUUAUACCAUCUAAGAAUCCUAAAGUGAAUUAACUGAAGUGAAUCUUGGAACUCUGUACACGUUAACACAUCUAAAGAAGGAGAACUGUUUCCUCGUCAUCAAAUAAAAAUGUGCUUUUCCUAAAAGAACUAUAAAAAAUACAUAAAACAUCAAUGUAUAUUAUAUAAUAUACACACUGUACAUAUUAUACAAUGUAUAUAUUACAUUGAGAUAAAACAGCUGACAAUUAUUUCCAAAUUUCAUAAAAUUUUCAAUGGAUUUGGUUCUCAACACAGCAAACUAAACAAAACCCUAAUGAUCACAUCACACGUCAAAAAGCCCACCGACUGUACACAAAAACCCCCAGUAACAAACUUAAGAGACAUUUUUCAGCA